UGCAGUCGAACGGCAGCGCGUCCUUCGGGAUGGCGGCGAGUGGCGAACGGGUGAGUAAAGCAUCGGAACGUGCCCGGUAGUGCGAGAUAGCUCGGCGAAAGCCGGAUUAAUACCGCAUGAGAUCCGAGGAUGAAAGCAGGGGACCCGCAAGGGCCUUGCGCUACUGGAGCGGCCGAUGUCAGAUUAGGUAGUUGGUGAGGUAAAGGCUCACCAAGCCUGCGAUCUGUAGCUGGUCUGAGAGGAUGAUCAGCCACAUCGGGACUGAGACACGGCCCGAACUCCUACGGGAGGCAGCAGUGGGGAAUUUUGGACAAUGGGCGCAAGCCUGAUCCAGCCAUGCCGCGUGCAGGAUGAAGGCCUUCGGGUUGUAAACUGCUUUUGUACGGAACGAAAAGCCUCUCCUUAAUAAAUGGGGGUGAUGACGGUACCGUAAGAAUAAGCACCGGCUAACUACGUGCCAGCA
rnacentral:rRNA from 1 species